UCGAUCAUACCACUAUGUAGACAUAUAACACAUUUUGUAAUUCAAGCAUUAAAACCAUUAGUCCUUUACAUACCGAAUUAUCAAAUAACUUAUCAAAGACACACAUAUAUAUAUCAUUACGUCUUAUCAAAUUCAUAUACCAAGCAUACCCCACGCCUUUACUAUGACCAAAAUUACUUAAACAUUGGAUCAUUAGCAUUAGAUCAAGCCAUUUUUGCAUGGCUAAAUAUAUAUAUACAAAAACUAAAUUAAAACUAGCCUAUACAUGCCACAUAGCCAAAAAUUCAAAGCUUUAAUUUACCGAAGCCAUAACCGGAUAGUGUGAUCACGACUCCAAUGUCUUCCAACCUGAACAAGUCUUUAGAACUCUAAAAACAUAAGAAAAACACACAGAGUAAGCUAUUACAGCUUAGUAAGUCAUAAGCAAAUAGAUAACUUAACAACAUUUAAUUGGUUACAACAAAAUCAAAUCAUGUUUUCAAUAUUCAUAUACAUUUCCAUAAUCGAAAAAUACAUUUAUCAAACACGUACUAUACAUCAAAUCCAUAUUUAACCAAAUACACAUAAGUUUAACAUUUGGCCGAAUGUAUAUAUAUAUAUCCAACAAUUUCAUGACAACCAAUAUAUGUACAUACUCACUAAUCACAAAGAUUCGAACGUUUAUAUGCUCAUCAAAUACAUUGAAACAAAUGUUCAUAUAUUUAUCCAUUACAUAUAACCAAAAUCAUAUAUAUAUAUACCCAAUGCAUAUAAUCACUUAAUUUAAACAGAUUCACUGGCACUUCACCUGCUAGGCUUAUAGCCUGAUUCAGUUCACCGGCACUUAGCCUGCUAGGCUUAUAGCCUGAUUCAGAUCACCGGCACUUAGCCUGCUAGACGUAAAGUCCGAAACAUUUCACCGGUAAUUAAUCUGAUUGGUACUAAGCUUUAAAAAAAAUCUCAAUUCACAGAAGUUGUAUCUCAUAAUUGUAUAUAGAAUCCACAUAAAAUUCAGCUCAAUAAUUUAUAAACUAUAUCUUUAAAUAACAUAGAUGUAUAAAGUUCAAACAUCAAUUCCAGCUCAAUAAUUUAAUUAUACAUCCAAACCUAUAUAUAUAACUUAAUGCAUUAAUCUACUACUAAUAUCAUAUAUUCAAUCAUCUUUUAAUAAUCCAACUAAUAAUUUCAUACUUUCAAUGCAAUUCAAGAACUUUACAUGAAUAUAUACUUGUAUAUUAGCAUAAUCGAACCUCAUGUAACCUUGUAUAAUUGUCAUACCUAAAUUCACUAUAAAAUCAUAUACGUGUAUGUAUACCUGUUCAUUCAAAUAUAAUAUAUAUAUAAUUGCCAACUCACAUAUACAAAUAUAAGUUACAUAUCUUAAUCAAAUCUAAGAGUUUAUACAUAUAUAUAUUUAUAUACAUAUAUUUGGACCUAAUGUACAUAUAUAUGUAUAUAUCAUACUUAUCUUGGAUUAAAACCAAGAAUUUAUACAUAUACAACAUUCAUACUUCCACUAAAUUCAAAAACUAUAUAUAUACAUAUGUAUAUAUAUUCGAUCAUUAUGUAUAUAAUUAUAAAUAUAUAUAUACAUAUUCAUACCUUUAUCUAAAUUCAAGGUUUAUUCAUGCUAUUACAUAUAUUUUUUAAUCUAUCAUAUACAAGUAUAAUUUCUUACCUAAUUUCAUUACAAUAGAUUUUCAUAUAUAUACAUGCCUAUCCGAAUCUCACCUUUACUUAUAUAAAAUUUAAACCUGUAAUUUAACUCAUGAACUUAUACAAGAUUAUACUUGUAUAUUCGAAACUAUCAAAUACUUAUAUAAAAUUUAUACUUAUACUUCAAAUUAUAAACAUUUAAUUACAGCUCAUCAAGUAUACAAUCGAUAUACAUGUAUAAAUAUUGAUUUAUUAACUUUUAAAUUGCUAAUAGACUUACCUCGGAUAUCGACGGACAUAGUCAACUACUUUCGACUUUUCCCGAUCUAAUUCCGUUUUCUUCUGUUCUUGAUCUAAAUAAGUUCAAAUUUAACUAAUUUAACCACAUAUUCAUUUAAUUAAAUCCAAAAACACAUAAAUGGGAAAAUUACACUUUUUCCCCUAACAUUUGACAUUUUUCACAAAUUAGUCCCUAUUUCACAAAAAAUACAAAAUAAACAAACUUUCCCUGCACAAUAGCUUGGCCGAAUAUGCACUAAGCUCAUAUAAAUCCAUGCAUGUCAUUUAUUUCAUAUUUUAGUCCCUCAAUUUAUUAUUUUUGCAAUUUAGCCUUAAUUACUCAAAAUCAUCAAAAAUUCAAUUUCAACAUAUAUAUAUCCAUUUUAUAUAUUUUAUUUUCUAUCAUUAAACAACAAAAUUACAAGCUUUCAACAAUGGCAAAACACAAAAUCAUCAUCAAAUUCAAAAAUUUAAGCAUGGUCGAGUAGUAUUCGAAACAACGAUCUCAAAAACAUAAAAAUCAUCAAAAACCGAAAUCGAAACAUACCUUAAUUUGCUUGAGCAAGGGCUGAAUACCUAGCUUGGUUUUCUUAUUUUCUUUCUCUUUUCAUUCGGCAC
rnacentral:lncRNA from 1 species